GACGAACGCUGGCGGCGUGCCUAAUACAUGCAAGUCGAGCGGAGCGGCGAACGGGUGAGUAACGCGUGAGUAACUGCCCCCCUCUCUGGGAUCACCGUUGGAAACGGCUGCUCAUACCGGAUAGUGGGGGAUGACUCGGGUCCUAUGAGCUUGUUGGUGGGGUAGUGGCCGACCACGGCGACGACGGGUAGCCGGCCUGAGGGGGCGACCGGCCACAAUGGGCUGAGAGACGGCCCAAAGGGCAACGGGAGGCAGCAGUGGGGAAUAUUGCACAGUGGGGGAAAGCCUGAUGCAGAAGCGCCGCGUGCGGGAUGACGGCCUUCGGGUUGAAAACCGCUUUCAGCCAUGACGCGGUAGUGGCAGAAGAAGCACCGGCUAACUACGUGCCAGCAGCCGCGGUAAUAC
rnacentral:rRNA from 1 species